rfam:Gossypium hirsutum cultivar TM-1 chromosome 13, whole genome shotgun sequence
AGUUAAAAUUUUCAUUCAUUCCUACUAAUAAAAACUUGUAUAGCUAACAGAAUAAUCAGACAAUUACACAUAGCGUGUCACAUGUACCUCAUAUCAACAUACAAGGACUAGUUUUUAACAGUAGAAAUGGAUGAAAUUUUUAAUA